GACGAACGCUGGCGGCGUGCUUAACACAUGCAAGUCGAACGGGCCUUGUCCCCUUUUUUUUUUGGGGGUGGGGUUAGUGGCGAACGGGUGAGUAACACGUGAGUAACCUGCCCCUCACUUCUGGAUAACCGCUUGAAAGGGUGGCUAAUACGGGGUGUUCUGGCCUGCUCGCAUGGGUGGGUUUGGAAAGAUUCGACCGGUUUUGGUUGUUUUGGUGGGGGAUGGGCUCGCGGCCUAUCAGCUUGUUGGUGGGGUGAUGGCCUGCCAAGGCGUUGACGGGUAGCCGGCCUGAGAGGGUGGGCGGUCACACUGGGACUGAGACACGGCCCAGACUCCUACGGGAGGCAGCAGUGGGGAAUAUUGCACAAUGGGCGCAAGCCUGAUGCAGCGACGCCGCGUGAGGGAUGGAGGCCUUCGGGUUGUGAACCUCUUUCGCCAGUGAAGAAGGUCCUGCUCUUUGUGGUGGGGUUGACGGUAGCUGGGUUAAUGAAGCGCCGGCUAACUACGUG
rnacentral:rRNA from 1 species